rnacentral:rRNA from 1 species
CAAGGGCAACCGGCGAACGGGUGCGUAACACGUGAGCAAUCUGCCGAUUUCAGGGGGAUAGCCGGCCCAACGGCCGGGUAAUACCGCAUAAGCUCAUCUAGGGGAGUCCCUGGGUGAGGAAACCUCCGGGGGAAAUCGAGGAGCUCGCGGCCUAUCAGCUAGUUGGCGGGGUAACGGCCCACCAAGGCGACGACGGGUAGCUGGUCUGAGAGGAUGGCCAGCCACAUUGGGACUGAGAGACGGCCCAGACUCCUACGGGAGGCAGCAGUGGGGAAUCUUGCGCAAUGGCCGAAAGGCUGACGCAGCGACGCCGCGUGUGGGAUGAAGCAUUUCGGUGUGUAAACCACUGUUGCCCGGGACGAACAGCUUCUUUCGAGGAGCCUGACGGUACCGGGUGAGGAAGCACCGGCUAACUCCGUGCCAGCAGCCGCGGUAAUACGGAGGGUGCGAGCGUUGUCCGGAAUCACUGGGCGUAAAGGGCGCGUAGGUGGCGCGAGUAGUCAACGGUGAAAGCCCGGGGCUCAACCCCGGGUCGGCCGUCGAUACUCUCGUGCUUGAGCACUGUAGAGGCAGGUGGAAUUCCGGGUGUAGCGGUGGAAUGCGUAGAGAUCCGGAAGAACACCGGUGGCGAAGGCGGCCUGCUGGGCAGUAGCUGACACUGAGGCGCGACAGCGUGGGGAGCAAACAGGAUUAGAUACCCUGGUAGUCCACGCCGUAAACGAUGGGCACUAGAUGCUUGGGGGAGCGACCCUCUGAGUGUCGGCGCUAACGCAUUAAGUGCCCCGCCUGGGGAGUACGGCCGCAAGGCUGAAACUC